rnacentral:rRNA from 1 species
UACGAAGGGGGCUAGCGUUGUUCGGAAUCACUGGGCGUAAAGCGCACGCAGGCGGAUUGAUAAGUCAGGGGUGAAAUCCCGGGGCUCAACCUCGGAAUUGCCUUUGAUACUGUCUGUCUUGAGUCCGGGAGAGGGACGUGGAAUUCCAGGUGUAGCGGUGAAAUGCGUAGAUAUCUGGAGGAACACCGGUGGCGAAGGCGACGUCCUGGACCGGCAUUGACGCUGAGGCGCGAAAGCCAGGGGAGCAAACGGG